UACGAAGGUGGCAAGCGUUGUUCGGAUUUACUGGGCGUAAAGGGAGCGUAGGUGGUUAGGUAAGCCCUCCGGGAAAUCUUCAGGCUUAACCUGAAAAGGUCGGGGGGGACUGCCUAGCUAGAGGGCGGGAGAGGAGCGCGGAAUUCCCGGUGUAGCGGUGAAAUGCGUAGAGAUCCGGAAGAACACCGGUGGCGAAGGCGGCCUGCUGGGCAGUAGCUGACACUGAGGCGCGACAGCGUGGGGAGCAAACAGG
rnacentral:rRNA from 1 species